rnacentral:rRNA from 1 species
GUGGGGAAUAUUGCACAAUGGGCGAAAGCCUGACCCAGCAACGCCGCGUGAGGGAAGAAGGCCUUCGGGUUGUAAACCUCUGUCCUUGGUGACGAAAAAAAUGACGGUAGCCAAGGAGGAAGCCCCGGCUAACUACGUGCCAGCAGCCGCGGUAAUACGUAGGGGGCGAGCGUUGUCCGGAAUUACUGGGCGUAAAGGGUGCGUAGGUGGCCUUUUAAGUUGGAUGUGAAAUACCCGGGCUUAACUUGGGGGGUGCAUCUAAUACUGGGAGGCUAGAGUGCAGGAGAGGGAAGCGGAAUUCCUAGUGUAGCGGUGAAAUGCGUAGAUAUUAGGAGGAACACCAGUGGCGAAGGCGGCUUUCUGGACUGUAACUGACACUGAGGCACGAAAGCGUGGGGAGCAAACAGGAUUAGAAACCCCGGUAGUCC